UCUUUUUUUCUUAGGCAAAGCAAUGUGUUGCUGAGAAGCUGUGCCUCCUUUUCCUGAUGAGCCUCCAAACCUCCUGUGCUGCGAGUCAGUGAUGAAAUAACCAUCGUCUGCCUGAAGCUUUUAGUGCUGAACGUGAAAAGUUCUCUGGGCUGCCAGCAGGUGGGACCUGUGAUCAAACAGAAUAUAACAACUUGCACCUGGAUUGCAAGACCAUCACAGCUACAACAACACAGCUCGUUCGGAGAAAGUACCCACUGGAGAAUUGCUCUGGGGCCAAUAUGUACAUUUCUGCUUCUACCUCUAAAUGUUUCUCUCCUGAUUCUGGGAAGGAAGUCUAGAGGCAGUUUAUUACAGAAAUGCCACUUAAUUUUCCUUUGCCCUUUUGACACAGAAAAUGCGUAUCUGAUGGAAGUUAUUUGUUUUCACUUGCCAUGUGCUAAGAAAGUUUAGAUGUGGCGAGUAUUACCAAUCUAAACAACACAGGCUAAUUGGUGUCCUUGUGAAAAUAAAACAACAUGGUUGUU
rnacentral:lncRNA from 7 species